rnacentral:rRNA from 1 species
GUGCAGCAGGCGCGAAACCUUCGCAAUGCGGGAAACCGCGACGGGGGGACUCCCAGUGCCUACGCUCAGCGUAGGCUGUUCCCGAGCCUAGAAAGCUCGGGGAGUAAGGGCUGGGUAAGACGGGUGCCAGCCGCCGCGGUAAUACCCGCAGCCCGAGUGGUGGCCACUAUUAUUGGGCCUAAAGCGUCCGUAGCCGGCCCGGUAAAUGCCUGGGUAAAUCGUGAGGCCUAACCUCACGAAUUCCGGGUAGACUGCCGGGCUAGGGACCGGAGGAGGGAGAGGGUACUCCAGGGGUAGGGGUGAAAUCCUGUAAUCCCUGGAGGACCACCGGUGGCGAAGGCGCUCUCCUAGGACGGGUCCGACGGUGAGGGACGAAAGCCAGGGGAGCGAACCGGAUUAGAUACCCCUGUAGU